GGGGUUGUGGCUCAGUGGUAGAGUACUUGCCUAGCAUGUGUGAGGCCCUGGGUUCAAUCCCCAGCACCA
rnacentral:tRNA from 1 species